UGUAGCCUACGGGAGGCAGCAGUGAGGAAUAUUGGUCAAUGGGCGGGAGCCUGAACCAGCCAAGUCGCGUGAGGGAAGACGGUCCUAUGGAUUGUAAACCUCUUUAGGCGGGGAGCAAUGCCGGGCACGCGUGCCCGGAGGGAGAGUACCCGAAGAAAAAGCAUCGGCUAACUCCGUGCCAGCAGCCGCGGUAAUACGGAGGAUGCGAGCGUUAUCCGGAUUUAUUGGGGUUAAAGGGUGCGCAGGCGGAGGUGCAAGGCAGCGGUCAAAUUGUGGGGCUCAACCCCGUACUGCCGUUGAAACUG
rnacentral:rRNA from 1 species